rnacentral:rRNA from 1 species
AGAUUGUAGGCUGCAACUCGCCUAUAUGAAGUUGGAAUUGCUAGUAAUCGCGGAUCAGCAUGCCGCGGUGAAUACGUUCCCGGGCCUUGUACACACCGCCCGUCACACCAUGAGAGCCGGUAAUACCCGAAGUCAGUAUCCUAACCGCAAGGGGGGAGCUGCCGAAGGUAGGAUUGGCGAUUGGGGUGAAGUCGUAACAAGGUACC